rnacentral:tRNA from 1 species
GCCGUGGUGGUACAGCGGUAAAAGCACUUGGCUGCUAACCAAAAGAUUGGAGGUUUGAACCUACCAGCUGCU